GGGUCAGCAGGUUGGUCGUGCCAAUGGUAUGCACUGGCCUUGCUGAUUCCUCCCUCUUGAUGAGCCGUAAUGCCAUUAAUUUGGUGUUGCGGGGAAUCAGGACUGUUACUUUGAAAAAAUUAGAGUGUUCAAAGCAGGCGAACCUGGCAUCAUGAAUACAUUAGCAUGGGAUAAUAGAAU
rnacentral:rRNA from 1 species